GUCGUUACAAUCUCGGCUUUCGCAUUGAUGAAGAAUGCAGUAAAAUGCGAUACUUGGUGUAAAUUGUAUAAUCUUGCGAACCAUCGAGUUUUUUAACACAAGUUGCGCCCGAAGCCAUCUAGUUUGCAAAUGUUU
rnacentral:rRNA from 1 species